rnacentral:tmRNA from 1 species
GGGGGCGACCUGGCUUCGACGUGGGCUACAAAGCAGCGUAGGGCAUACCGAGGACCCGCCACCUCGUAAAUCAGCUGGAAAACCAAUAGUCGCAAACGACGAAAAGUACGCUCUAGCCGCUUAACCGGUUAGAUCCCACACCCUGCUGUCCGUGGAGGGGCUCAAGGCAGUAAUGCC